CGUCGCCACGGUAAUACGUAGGGUGCAAGCGUUAAUCGGAAUUACUGGGCGUAAAGCGUGCGCAGGCGGUUUGUUAAGACAGAUGUGAAAUCCCCGGGCUCAACCUGGGAACUGCAUUUGUGACUGGCAAGCUAGAGUGUGGCGGAGGGGGGUGGAAUUCCGCGUGUAGCAGUGAAAUGCGUAGAUAUGCGGAGGAACACCGAUGGCGAAGGCAGCCCCCUGGGCCAACACUGACGCUCAUGCACGAAAGCGUGGGGAGCAAACAGGAUUAGAUACCCCCGUAGUCCCUGUCUCUUAUACC
rnacentral:rRNA from 1 species